rnacentral:rRNA from 1 species
GACGAACGCUGGCGGCGUGCCUAAUACAUGCAAGCCGAGCGGACAGAAGGGAGCUUGCUCCCGGAAGUUAGCGGCGGACGGGUGAGUAACACGUGGGCAACCUACCCUGUAGAUCGGGAUAACAUCGAGAAAUCGGUGCUAAUACCGGAUAAUCAUUUGAAGUGCAUGCUUCGAAUGUAAAAGAUGGCCCCGGCUAUCACUACGGGAUGGGCCCGCGGCGCAUUAGCUAGUUGGUAAGGUAAUGGCUUACCAAGGCAACGAUGCGUAGCCGACCUGGGAGGGUGAUCGGCCACACUGGGACUGAGACACGGCCCAGACUCCUACGGGAGGCAGCAGUAGGGAAUCUUCCGCAAUGGACGAAAGUCUGACGGAGCAACGCCGCGUGAGUGAUGAAGGUUUUCGGAUCGUAAAGCUCUGUUGUUAGGGAAGAACAAGUGCCGUUUGAAUAAGGCGGCACCUUGACGGUACCUAACCAGAAAGCCACGGCUAACUACGUGCCAGCCGCCGCAGUAAAAC